rnacentral:lncRNA from 10 species
CAGGUUAGGGCACCAAAGGGUUAAACUGUGACAAUGUGGCAGACUCCAAACUCCACGUAGGCAGGGAGCCUGUCUGCUGCUCUCAACUUUGGACUCAGCAUCGAACAUAGUCCCUGGUGCUUAGAAGAUGCUCAACAAAUACUUCACAAUUGAAUGAACACAUGGCUAUGCUGUCAUAGAAUUUGAAAGGUAAUGGACAAUGUGAUA